AGGAUUAACGCUGGCGGCGUGCCUAACACAUGCAAGUCGAACGAGGGGGGCAACCCCCGAGUGGCAGACGGGUGAGUAACGCGUGGUCAACCUACCCUAGAGUGGGGAAUAACUAGCCGAAAGGUUAGCUAAUACCGCAUGAUACGUUUUGGGACAUCCCAGGACGUUGAAAGGAGCAAUCCGCUCGAGGACGGGACCGCGUCCGAUUAGCUAGUUGGUGAGGUAACGGCCCACCAAGGCUCCGAUCGGUAGCUGGUUUGAGAGAGCGACCAGCCACACUGGGACUGAGAAACGGCCCAGACUCCUACGGGAGGCAGCAGUGAGGAAUUUUCCGCAAUGGGCGAAAGCCUGACGGAGCGACGCCGCGUGUGGGAAGAAGGCCUUCGGGUCGUAAACCGACUGUCGAAGGGGACUAUACUGAAGGUACCCUUGGAGGAAGCCCGGCUAACUACGUGCCAGCAGCCGC
rnacentral:rRNA from 1 species